ACUCCUACGGGAGGCAGCAGCCAAGAAUAUUCCGCAAUGGGGGGAACCCUGACGGAGCGACGCUGCGUGAAUGAAGAAGGCUUUCGAGUUGUAAAGUUCUUUUAUAAAGGAAGAAUAAGUUGGGGAGGAAAUGCCCUGAUGAUGACGGUACUUUAUGAAUAAGUCCCGGCUAAUUACGUGCCAGCAGCCGCGGUAAU
rnacentral:rRNA from 1 species